rnacentral:rRNA from 1 species
UUAGAGUUUGAUCCUGGCUCAGGACGAACGCUGGCGGUGCGCCUAACACAUGCAAGUCGAACGAGCGAGAGAGAGCUUGCUUUCUCAAGCGAGUGGCGAACGGGUGAGUAACGCGUGAGGAACCUGCCUCAAAGAGGGGGACAACAGUUGGAAACGACUGCUAAUACCGCAUAAGCCCACGGUGCCGCAUGGCACAGGGGGAAAAGGAGCAAUCCGCUUUGAGAUGGCCUCGCGUCCGAUUAGCUAGUUGGUGAGGUAAUGGCCCACCAAGGCGACGAUCGGUAGCCGGACUGAGAGGUUGAACGGCCACAUUGGGACUGAGACACGGCCCAGACUCCUACGGGAGGCAGCAGUGGGGAAUAUUGCACAAUGGGGGAAACCCUGAUGCAGCGACGCCGCGUGGAGGAAGAAGGUCUUCGGAUUGUAAACUCCUGUUGUUGAGGAAGAUAAUGACGGUACUCAACAAGGAAGUGACGGCUAACUACGUGCCAGCAGCCGCGGUAAAACGUAGGUCACAAGCGUUGUCCGGAAUUACUGGGUGUAAAGGGAGCGCAGGCGGGAAGACAAGUUGGAAGUGAAAUCUAUGGGCUCAACCCAUAAACUGCUUUCAAAACUGUUUUUCUUGAGUAGUGCAGAGGUAGGCGGAAUUCCCGGUGUAGCGGUGGAAUGCGUAGAUAUCGGGAGGAACACCAGUGGCGAAGGCGGCCUACUGGGCACCAACUGACGCUGAGGCUCGAAAGUGUGGGUAGCAAACAGGAUUAGAUACNCUGGUAGUCCACACCGUAAACGAUGAUUACUAGGUGUUGGAGGAUUGACCCCUUCAGUGCCGCAGUUAACACAAUAAGUAAUCCACCUGGGGAGUACGACCGCAAGGUUGAAACUCAAAGGAAUUGACGGGGGCCCGCACAAGCAGUGGAGUAUGUGGUUUAAUUCGACGCAACGCGAAGAACCUUACCAAGUCUUGACAUCCUCUGACGAACGUAGAAAUACGUUUUCUCUUCGGAGCAGAGAGACAGGUGGUGCAUGGUUGUCGUCAGCUCGUGUCGUGAGAUGUUGGGUUAAGUCCCGCAACGAGCGCAACCCUUAUGGUCAGUUACUACGCGAGAGGACUCUGGCCAGACUGCCGUUGACAAAACGGAGGAAGGUGGGGAUGACGUCAAAUCAUCAUGCCCUUUAUGACUUGGGCUACACACGUACUACAAUGGCGUUAAACAAAGAGAAGCAAGACCGCGAGGUGGAGCAAAACUCAGAAACAACGUCCCAGUUCGGACUGCAGGCUGCAACUCGCCUGCACGAAGUCGGAAUUGCUAGUAAUCGCAGAUCAGCAUGCUGCGGUGAAUACGUUCCCGGGCCCCUUGUACACAC